UUUAAUUUUUAAAUUAAAAAGUUUAAAUAUUUAUAAAAGACGAGAAGACCCUAUAGAGUUUAAUAUUUAAUUAUAUAUAAUUAAUUUAGAUUUAUUAAUUUUGUAUAUAUUUAAAUAUUUUAUUGGGGUAAUAUAAAGAUUAAAAUAAUUCUUUAAUUUUUUAUUUAUUGAUUUAUAUUUUUUAUUGAUCCAUUAAUAGGGAUUAUAAGUUUAAAUUACCUUAGGGAUAACAGCGUAAUUUUUUUAGAGAGUUCAUAUUGAUAAAAAAGUUUGCGACCUCGAUGUUGGNUUAAAGAUUAAUUUAGGUGCAAAAGUUUAAAUAAUUUGGUCUGUUCGACCAUUAAAUCUUUACAUGAUCUGAGUUCAGACCGGCGUGAGCCAGGUCGGUUUCUAUCUUUAUUAAAUUAAUAUAUUUUAG
rnacentral:rRNA from 1 species